AUGAUCACUCCCUUGUGCCUGGAAAACACAGCAGUUGAGAAAACAACUAGUACAAUCUCCGUGCAGGCCAGCCUGCGUUUCAGGUGCUUCUCCCUGCAGAGAGCCUCCUGUUACCUUCCUACCUCCUUCCUUGAGCCCAGCUCAUCCCUGGGCUGUGGAGAAGCCAAGCUCAAAGUGGCAGAAGAGCAAGCUUUCCCCUCCUCAGUCCCGUUCCUGGGGGUUCAUGGUUUGUCUCUGUGCUCGCUGAGUGCCUGUAACUCAUGCCCUCACUGCAUGCCAGCCAGCCAGCCAGCUGUUUGA
rnacentral:lncRNA from 1 species